CUGUUAUUUACUGGUUACCUGAUUUGGUAACUAUGUAACCUUAACUUUCCAAAAUAUUUUAUAAGACCAGCAAAUAAAAAAGGAAUGAUGCUUUCAGACACCCAACAUACAUGUUUUAUGAUCAGAAAAAUUAAGUGCAUUGAAAUGCAGGUUAAUUUUCUACAACUGUCAAAUUCAAGGGAAUAUUUUUUUUAGACCUACUUUCGUAUACAACCGAAUGUGACGUACCAUGAUUUGGUGGUAUUACACCUUAAUUGGAUAUAUAGAAAACGUUAACUGAUAUAAUCAUUUGUCUUUUUUGGAACAAUAAAAUAUGUUUAAACUAAACUUAUAAUCAAUAUUCUACACAUGAUUAUUUAUCAGGAUUUCAAAUACAAUAAUUAAAGUUUUUAUUUCAUGUACCUUCCUGUAUUAAAUUGUCAAUUAUUUUUUAUAUUGAUGAUUUUAAUCACAAUUUCAAUUUGGUGCAAGUGUUUUUUUAUAUCUACUUAUUGUCUGUUCUUCAUUUGUAUAAUUUACAUAUUGGUGUUGAAUGUCAUUAAAAAUAUUUUUAAUAUUGAAGAUUAGGCAAAUGUUUAUGAGUUUACAACGUUUAUAAAAUGAUUAUUUUUAGAACAGCUAUGUUUGGCAAUUAGAUUGAUUGUAAAAUUCUGAAAAAUGAGCCUACGGGAAGAAUAGAAUUACAUUCCAGCAGUGUAUGACUCAUUGAAACCCUUUAUUCUGAAAAUGUGAGCACAAUCGACACUAUUACACCCCUAUAAAACUACAAAAUUUUAAAUGAAUUCAUUUUAAUGCUAAAACCAGAUACUAUUAGUUAAUUAAGCUUUUUUGCUAGAUUUGUUUUAAAUAUUAGUCCUUAUUACUACGCAUUGUUGCAUUGUUUUUACCAAUAGCCUGUGCAGUCAAGGCUGUUGCAUUUAUUUGUACAAAUGAAAAGAUGGUCACUAUAAAACCUGAAUUGUUACCGUUCAACCACAAUUUUUGAUCUUCUUUAAUCAUCUUUGGUUAUGUCAUUAGGGCUAUUCCAUUAAAAUUUAUGUGGGCGAGUAGGAAGGGAUUGUCAAAAAUAUCUCUACAACCCAGAAUGAUUUCUAAAUAAUUUUGCAUAAUGGUAAAAGAUGCUUGCAAAAAAAAGAAUCAUGACUCACAUUUAAUGAUUCAUAAACUUCCCUUCCUACCAAUCCACAUACAUUUAAAUGGUAAAACCCUUAUAUGAUUAUGCGGUUUAAAGUUUUAAAUUCAAAAUUAUCUUUUUUUGUAUGACAUUCAAAACUUAAUGUAUUUUUCAUGGUAAGUUUGAUUUAAGACAGAUCCAACAAUGGUAUCCACUCAUCUACAAACAUAAUGCUAGAACUGUCUUUAGCCAGGGACUAUUUUCAUACUUUAUUUUAUCAUUCCAUAGGUUGAAUAUUUUUGAUUUUAUAUUUCUACAUAAUGUUGAUCAUUGUUUAAUUUGCUUUCGUGUUAUUUUUGUCAUUAAUAAAAAUUAGGAA
rnacentral:lncRNA from 1 species